CACGUACUCCCUCCGUUCCGAAAUACUUGUCUUGGAUUUGUCUAGAUACGGAUGUAUUUAGACUCAUUUUAGUGCUAGAUACCUCCGUAUCUAGACAAAUCUAAGACAAGUAAUUCGGAACGGAGGGAGUAGGAG
rnacentral:pre_miRNA from 1 species